UGGGGAAUUUUGGACAAUGGGGGAAACCCUGAUCCAGCCAUCCCGCGUGUGCGAUGAAGGCCUUCGGGUUGUAAAGCACUUUUGGCAGGAAAGAAACGUCAUGGGUUAAUACCCCGUGAAACUGACGGUACCUGCAGAAUAAGUACCGGCUAACUACGUGCCAGCAGCCGCGGUAAUACGUAGGGUGCAAGCGUUAAUCGGAAUUACUGGGCGUAAAGCGUGCGCAGGCGGUUCGGAAAGAAAGAUGUGAAAUCCCAGAGCUCAACUUUGGAACUGCAUUUUUAACUACCGGGCUAGAGUGUGUCAGAGGGAGGGGGAAUUCCGCGUGGAGCAGUGAAAUGCGUAGAUAUGCGGAGGAACACCGAUGGCGAAGGCAGCCUCCUGGGAUAACACUGACGCUCAUGCACGAAAGCGUGGGGAGCAAACAGG
rnacentral:rRNA from 1 species